UAUAUAAUGCGACUAUUUUUUUAAAAAUAGCGGUGGCAAGUCCGCAUAAACGCAGAGCCUUUA
ncrna:unclassified sequences type-P1 twister ribozyme